rnacentral:SRP_RNA from 1 species
GCUGGGCAUGGUGGCUCAUGCCUGUAAUCCCAGCACUUUGGGAGGCUGAGGCAGGUGGAUUGCUUGAGCCCAGGAGUUCGAGACCAGCCUGGGCAACACAGCAAAACCCUGUCUCUC